CUUGACUGUAUCCUGGAAUUGGGUUCGGGCUUUUCUUGCGCAGUCUAGGUGGGAGGCAUUGAAGAUUUCCUUCCGGGGAAGUUGGAGCCAUCAGUGAGAGACCACUCUGGAGAGGCUAGAAUCCUAACGGUGAUCCUUUGAUCAGGACACUUAACAUUUUCAGGUGGGCAGUUUGUUUGGGGCGAACACCUCAUAAAAGGUAACUGAGGUGCGCAAAGGUUCCCUCGGUCUGGACGGAAAUCAGACUAAAGAGUGUAAAGGCAUAAAGGGAGCUUGACUGCAAGACCGACAAGUCGAGCAGGUACGAAAGUAGGCCUUAGUGAUCCGACGGCGCAGAAUGGAAUGGCCGUCGCUCAACGGAUAAAAGUUA
rnacentral:rRNA from 1 species